GGAUGUGAGGGCGAUCUGGCUGCGACAUCUGUCACCCCAUUGAUCGCUAGGAUUGAUUCGGCUGAUCUGGCUGGCUAGGCGGGUGUCCCCUUCCUCCCUCACCGCUCCAUGUGCAUCGCUCUCGAAGCUGCGUGCUUGGUCCAAGAGGACGACCUUCCCGUAAUACAGGAGGACCGGUCUUCAGUCAAGGGUAUACCAGUAGCUGCGCUUCCCUGCUAGAAACUCCAAACAAGCUCUCAAGGAAUAAAUAUAUCUGACUUGUGUGUGUGUGUGUGUGUGUGUGUGUGUGUGUGUGUAUGCAAGUCUGAAAAGUCUAGCUCUCACUAUGUGGCUCUAGUGUGCCUACAA
rfam:Cricetulus griseus cell line CHO-K1, whole genome shotgun sequence.